rnacentral:lncRNA from 1 species
GUCCGCGCUAUAAAAGGCGCGGCGCGCGCUCGCGCGGCCUUUUCGGGCGGCGGGGAUGGAGAGUCCGUGGGAUCUCUUUACGGCCUCUGGACUGGAGGCCGAGCGCCCGCCCGCGGCCGAGCCCCGCGCCCGGCGUCUCCGCCCGGGGUGCUCUCCGCAGUUUCCUGGCUUGGAAGCCUCGGGAACAUGGCGAGGCAGCGGUGGUUUAACGGGAAGGACGGUGACUGUUAGCCUGUGAACGAAAGCGAGAGUGAGCCGCCUCACGCUCCGGACCAAGAGUGAUCUUGAACUUGUGGCUGCUACUAGAUUUUUGCCCACACCUCCUCGUAUGCUGCGGCUUCUCCACUGGAGUGGGGCCAGGGUGACCGUGGACUUGCCGCAAGUCAGACGGCUGCAGGUCACAGCAGGUCCAGUCUGUCCACCUUUGAGCGGCGGCGGCAUGUCCUUCCCCACCCUCGAUGACCCCCGCUGGCUUGACCCCCAGAAACUGCGUGGAGUGUUCGGGGGAUGAGGCUGAGGAGGCUUGUCUUUGCCUUCCGGAACCCCGCUCCUGUCCUGAGGUCUCCACCCAAGGUGGGAACCCCGGAGAGCAGCCUAGCAGCCACGUGCCGCCGGACUCGCGGGCAGUACAGAGCCUGGGAAAGCCACGGCCUCGGAAGUUGCUCUGAAGAACGAGCAGGCUCGUCGCGUCGCGUGUUGAGAAGCAGCAGUGGUGUGGAUCAGCAGGGUUGAGGCGGCGGCUGUGCGCGUCACGACAGAGACGUGAGCAGAGGCCGCGUGGCGCCCAGGGAGCCAGCGAUGACAGCCCGGCAACGGGCGGGGCGGGGGCAGGAAGGCGCCUGAAGGCAGCCGUGUCCGCCUGCAGUGGCAGCAGCCCCGCAGGCACCCCAGGGCAUGGUCUUGAAGUCCUCCAGCCGGGAGGUGCGGGAUCUUGUGUGCAGGCCCACCCCACAGGCCUGAGCUGUCUGGAUUAUCCCCCAGCCAAGGGGAGAAUGUCGAUGAGGUUUACGAAUUAGUCCUGAGAACGAGUGUCUCACGCUGAAACCUUGGGACCUGUGUUUCCAGCACAGGUUGUGACAGUGAGUGGAAAGAUCUGUCUUGGUGAAGGAGCAUGUCCCCAUGUUGGCAAAACUAUAAAGAAUAAACGGAUCUUGAAUAAACUACCUUGACUUGCC